GCUGGGCGUGGUGGCGUGCGCCUGUAGUCCCAACUGCUCGGGAGGCAGAGGCAGGAGAAUUGCUUGAACCUGGGAGGCGGAGGUUGCAGUGAACCGAGAUCGCGCCACUGCAUUCCAGCCUGGGUGACAGAGCAAGACUCUGUCUCAA
ensembl:misc_RNA Metazoa_SRP Metazoan signal recognition particle RNA